GAUGAACGCUGGCGGCGUGCCUAAUACAUGCAAGUCGAGCGAACGGACGAGAAGCUUGCUUCUCUGAUGUUAGCGGCGGACGGGUGAGUAACACGUGGAUAACCUACCUAUAAGACUGGGAUAACUUCGUGAAACCGUAGCUAAUACCGGAUAAUAUUUUGAACCGCAUGGUUCAAAAGUGAAAGACGGUCUUGCUGUCACUUAUAGAUGGAUCCGCGCUGCAUUAGCUAGUUGGUAAGGUAACGGCUUACCAAGGCAACGAUGCAUAGCCGACCUGAGAGGGUGAUCGGCCACACUGGAACUGAGACACGGUCCAGACUCCUACGGGAGGCAGCAGUAGGGAAUCUUCCGCAAUGGGCGAAGGCCUGACGGAGCAACGCCGCGUGAGUGAUGAAGGUCUUCGGAUCGUAAAACUCUGUUAUUAGGGAAGAACAUAUGUGUAAGUAACUGUGCACAUCUUGACGGUACCUAAUCAGAAAGCCACGGCUAACUACGUG
rnacentral:rRNA from 1 species